UGGGGGAUAUUGCACAAUGGGCGAAAGCCUGAUACAGCGACGCCGCGUGGGGGAUGAAGGCCUUCGGGUUGUAAACUUCUUUUGCUCUGAACAAGGCGCACCAUGGGGUGUGUUGAGUGUAGGGGUUGAUUAGCGCCGGCUAACUACGUGCCAGCAGCCGCGGUAAUACGUAGGGCGCGAGCGUUGUCCGGAAUUAUUGGGCGUAAAGGGCUUGUAGGUGGCUGGUUGCGUCUGUCGUGAAAGCUCAUGGCUUAACUGUGGGUUUGCGGUGGGUACGGGCUGGCUUGAGUGCAGUAGGGGAGGCUGGAAUUCCUGGUGUAGCGGUGGAAUGCGCAGAUAUCAGGAGGAAUACCGGUGGCGAAGGCGGGUCUCUGGGCUGUUACUGACACUGAGGAGCGAAAGCAUGGGGAGCGAACAGG
rnacentral:rRNA from 1 species